CAGGAAGAGCCUGGACAGCAGGUGUGCACGUGGCUGCUUUCGUGUUCUACAGUAACACCAGCUGUGGUUUGAAGGGGCCACUUUCAAAGUCAGUUAGAAAUGUGGGAACUGUUUAAAAGUUUUCUCCUAGCAACUUGCUCUUAUACUAGAAAUGCUAAAAACAAAUUAGAAAUUAUUUAAUUGCUCCUUGAAUCGUGACCUCCUGGGGUAAAGGAAAUCUGCCAGAGUAGAUGGAGAUGAGGGCAACACCCAGGGAGGGAAUCCCAACAGGUUUCUUAUCUGCU
rnacentral:lncRNA from 1 species